rnacentral:rRNA from 1 species
AGCGGGGUGAUGGUGCUUGCACUAUCACUUAGCGGCGGACGGGUGAGUAAUGCUUAGGAAUCUGCCUAUUAGUGGGGGACAACAUUUCGAAAGGAAUGCUAAUACCGCAUACGUCCUACGGGAGAAAGCAGGGGAUCUUCGGACCUUGCGCUAAUAGAUGAGCCUAAGUCGGAUUAGCUAGUUGGUGGGGUAAAGGCCUACCAAGGCGACGAUCUGUAGCGGGUCUGAGAGGAUGAUCCGCCACACUGGGACUGAGACACGGCCCAGACUCCUACGGGAGGCAGCAGUGGGGAAUAUUGGACAAUGGGCGGAAGCCUGAUCCAGCCAUGCCGCGUGUGUGAAGAAGGCCUUAUGGUUGUAAAGCACUUUAAGCGAGGAGGAGGCUACUUUAGUUAAUACCUAGAGAUAGUGGACGUUACUCGCAGAAUAAGCACCGGCUAACUCUGUGCCAGCAGCCGCGGUAAUACAGAGGGUGCAAGCGUUAAUCGGAUUUACUGGGCGUAAAGCGCGCGUAGGCGGCUAAUUAAGUCAAAUGUGAAAUCCCCGAGCUUAACUUGGGAAUUGCAUUCGAUACUGGUUAGCUAGAGUGUGGGAGAGGAUGGUAGAAUUCCAGGUGUAGCGGUGAAAUGCGUAGAGAUCUGGAGGAAUACCGAUGGCGAAGGCAGCCAUCUGGCCUAACACUGACGCUGAGGUGCGAAAGCAUGGGGAGCAAACAGGAUUAGAUACCCUGGUAGUCCAUGCCGUAAACGAUGUCUACUAGCCGUUGGGGCCUUUGAGGCUUUAGUGGCGCAGCUAACGCGAUAAGUAGACCGCCUGGGGAGUACGGUCGCAAGACUAAAACUCAAAUGAAUUGACGG